rnacentral:rRNA from 1 species
UACGUAGGGUGCGAGCGUUAAUCGGAAUUACUGGGCGUAAAGCGUGCGCAGGCGGCGCCGCAAGUCAGGCGUGAAAUCCCCGAGCUUAACUUGGGAAUGGCGCUUGAAACUACGGUGCUGGAGUGUGGCAGAGGGAGGUGGAAUUCCACGUGUAGCGGUGAAAUGCGUAGAGAUGUGGAGGAACACCGAUGGCGAAGGCAGCCUCCUGGGCCAACACGGACGCUCAUGCACGAAAGCGUGGGGAGCAAACAGG